UACGUAGGGGGCAAGCGUUGUCCGGAUUUAUUGGGCGUAAAGAGCGUGUAGGCGGCCAUACAGGUCAGCUGUGAAAACUCGAGGCUCAACCUCGAGACGUCGGUUGAAACCGUAUGGCUAGAGUCCGGAAGAGGAGAGUGGAAUUCCCGGUGUAGCGGUGAAAUGCGCAGAUAUCAGGAGGAACACCGAUGGCGAAGGCAGGUCUCUGGGCCACUACUGACGCUGAGAAGCGAAAGCAUGGGGGAGCGAACAGG
rnacentral:rRNA from 1 species